AGUGAACGCUGGCGGUAGGCCUAACACAUGCAAGUCGAACGGCAGCACAUUACUUGCUUGCUCUUCUGGGUGGCGACUGGCGGACGGGUGUUGAAUACAUCCGUAUCUACUUUUUCGUGCGUGUUAACGUAGGGACACUUACGCUAUUCCCCCAUCCGACCUACGGGUGAAAGCAUCGGAUCUUCGGCCCUUGCGCGAUUCAAUGAGCCGAUGUCGGAUUAGCUGGUUGGCGGGGUAAAGGCCCACCAAGCCGACGAUCCGUAGCUGGUCUGAGAGGAUGAUCAGCCACACUGGAACUGAGACACGGUCCAGACUCCUAGGGGAGGAAGAAGGGGGGAAUAUGGGAAAAGGGGGGAAAGCCGGAUCAAGCCAGACCGGGUGGGGGAAGAAGGCCUUCGGGUGUUAAAGACCUUUUGUGGGGAAAGAAAAGCAGAAGGUAAAAAUCCCGCAGAGUUGACGGUACUCAAAGAAUAAGCACCGGCUAACUUCGUG
rnacentral:rRNA from 1 species